AUUGUAUUGGUGCUGCUUGGUGGAGGAAUUUUUUUCUAUGUUUAUCACCCAUUCGCUUUGCUGAAUUUACACAUGUGCAGAAGACAGAACAGUUCACUGGUUCACAAAUCAAUGCAUGCAACUUUGUAUGUUCAUGUGGUUAGCGCUUUGCAAAGUGCACACGGUGUGGAAUUUGUUUGCCACAAGGCCAUACAGGGGCGACCACCGGAUUAUAUGCACCGUGAUGGGUUGCUGAGUCGGUCAACUGAAUAAAGCUUGGAUGCACGCAAGAUAUGAUGCUGGCUGUGCGGUGCCUCAUUCUCAGUCUGAAUUUCGUGGGAGUGCCCCGCUGAUGAUACAAAAAGAUUUCCAAAGAAACAUUCGAUUUUUAGUCACUAGCUUUUAUUUCCAGUUGCAAUUUGUGUUCCAAUAAUGUUUUAACGCUUUCUAUUCUACGGUGUUGUGAUGAUCUUCAUCUCCAUCACCCAAUUUUAUAUGUACCGUACAACAUUACUGCUCUCAGUUACUUUUGACCAUCAAAUCAGUCUACCAUGUAUUCUCCUUGCCCCUCUCGCAAAACAAAAAUGUGUUCUGCUUGCCAAAAGAGAGAAAGAGAGAGCAAGAGAGAGCAAGAGAGAGGAUAGAUAGCAGCCGCCAUUAGUGUGGGGAGGCAGCAAUAGCAUCUCUGUCUGUCUCCAAGAAGAGUUGACCUGAUGCCUGAAACCUGAAGCUACAGGCAAGUGUUGAGAGUUGAGAAAACAGAGCAAAAGCAGAGUAAAGCAGGCUAUCAUCUGUAUGUAUCGAGUUAUCGCCAUGGAGACCAGAAUCCACAAAUUAAACUAAUGGGCGUCUCACCUGUAUGGUCAAUUUCGUGGAAGAUCUGAGGUAACCGACCAAAGGGAGAAGUACUUGCAAAGAUUGCAACAAGUACAGCAGCAGCAGGGCAACCUUCUUAACGCUUCUCAUAUAACGGGCAUCAAUCAGAAGCAAUUUCCAACCCAGCAACCCAAUUCCCUCUUACAGCAGUUUAAUUCUCAGAGUUCUUCUAUCUCUUCUCAAGGGGGCCUUGGGCUAGGGGUUCAGGGACCAGACGCUGGGCAAACAAAAAGUGGCGAGCAACAAGGCUUGGCCGAUGAUGCUGGUGUGGAGUAUGCUGCAACAACUGGACCGAUUAGGCACACCAAUGAAGAUGACACGAAGGCG